UACGUAGGGGGCUAGCGUUGUCCGGAAUCAUUGGGCGUAAAGAGCGUGUAGGCGGCCCGGUAAGUCCGCUGUGAAAGUCCAGGGCUCAACCCUGGAAUGCCAGUGGAGACUGUCGGGCUAGAGUCCGGAAGAGGCGAGUGGAAUUCCUGGUGUAGCGGUGAAAUGCGCAGAUAUCAGGAGGAACACCAAUGGCGAAGGCAGCUCGCUGGGACGGUUACUGACGCUGAGACGCGAAAGCGUGGGGAGCAAACAGG
rnacentral:rRNA from 1 species